rnacentral:tRNA from 1 species
GGACAGGUGGCCGAGAGGCUGAAGGCACUCGCCUGCUAAGCGAGUAUGGGGUUUAUAGCUCCAUCGCGGGUUCGAAUCCCGCCCUGUCCG